rnacentral:rRNA from 1 species
GAUGAACGCUGGCGGCGUGCCUAAUACAUGCAAGUCGAGCGAACAGACGAGGAGCUUGCUCCUCUGACGUUAGCGGCGGACGGGUGAGUAACACGUGGAUAACCUACCUAUAAGACUGGGAUAACUUCGGGAAACCGGAGCUAAUACCGGAUAAUAUAUUGAACCGCAUGGUUCAAUAGUGAAGGACGGUUUUGCUGUCACUUAUAGAUGGAUCCGCGCCGCAUUAGCUAGUUGGUAAGGUAACGGCUUACCAAGGCGACGAUGCGUAGCCGACCUGAGAGGGUGAUCGGCCACACUGGAACUGAGACACGGUCCAGACUCCUACGGGAGGCAGCAGUAGGGAAUCUUCCACAAUGGGCGAAAGCCUGACGGAGCAACGCCGCGUGAGUGAUGAAGGUCUUCGGAUCGUAAAACUCUGUUAUUAGGGAAGAACAAAUGUGUAAGUAACUAUGCACGUCUUGACGGUACCUAAUCAGAAAGCCACGGCUAACUACGUG